AAAAAGAAAAAUCUUGGAAAAAGGCCUUGGACUCACGCACAAACAGGAACUCAAGACACAAAAAUACAUUUGAACAUUUGACCUCUUAAUUGUUGCUAUAAAUCUAUAACUAAUAUGCCAGAAAUGGUUUGAUCUUUGCCCAGGACACCCGGAUGUAAUUGCCUGAAAUUAUGUGUAUAAAUAUGACCCAUCAUCAUUCAAUAGGUAUGAUAAUGUUACUGUGUUACACCGGCUCUGGUUCUUCACAAAAUCUUUCUCUGAGACUCUGAAGGUUCAUCAUGGCAAUGCUAAUAAGCUGUCUGCUUCUCUUCAUUAUCUUCUCCAUGGGGAAUACAGAAGUGAAUGUUACAAGAAAUGUUAAUAGACUGGAUGCAGUUGAUUUAGACAGAUGCCCCGCCACA